CACAUGCAAGUCUCAGCACACCAGUGAGUAUUACCCUUUCACCUUAAUAGCGGGAGGAGCAGGAAUUAGGCACAGAAUCUAGCCAAAAAUACCCAGUACCACCACAUCCACAAGGAUCUACAGCAGUGAUUGACAUUAUAAAUAAGCGAAAGCUUGAACUAGUUAAAGAUAUUAGAGUUGGUCAACCUGGUGCCAGCCACCGCGGCUAUACCAGGAACUCAGGUUGAUAAAUUUCGGCGUUAAGCGUGAUUUAAGACUACACCAAUUAGAGUUGAAUAAAGACCCAGUUGUCCCAAGCAUUUCUCCAAGAAAACCACAUAUAAAAAUUACUCUAAUUAAUACUUGAAUGCACGACAGCUAAGACACAAACUGAGAUUAGAUACCCCACUAU
rnacentral:rRNA from 1 species